rnacentral:tRNA from 1 species
GCGCCGGUGGUCUAAUGGCUACGUGCUAGAUUGGGAUUCUUGUUCCCAUUUCUGGCGUGCUGUAAAUGACUACGGCCUUCCAAGCCGUGUAUCCGGGUUCGAAUCCCGGCCGGCGCA